UACGGGGGGAGCAAGCGUUGUUCGGAUUUACUGGGCGUAAAGGGCGCGUAGGCGGCCUUCUAAGUCAGACGUGAAAUCCCCCGGCUUAACCUGGGAACUGCGUCUGAUACUGGGAGGCUUGAGUAUGGGAGAGGGAUGUAGAAUUCCAGGUGUAGCGGUGAAAUGCGUAGAUAUCAGGAGGAACACCGAUGGCGAAGGCAGCUCUCUGGCCUGCAACUGACGCUGAGGUGCGAAAGCGUGGGGAGCGAACGGG
rnacentral:rRNA from 1 species